AACUCAAAGGAGACUGCCAGUGAUAAACUGGAGGAAGGUGGGGAUGACGUCAAGUCAUCAUGGCCCUUACGACCAGGGCUACACACGUGCUACAAUGGCGCAUACAAAGAGAAGCGACCUCGCGAGAGCAAGCGGACCUCAUAAAGUGCGUCGUAGUCCGGAUUGGAGUCUGCAACUCGACUCCAUGAAGUCGGAAUCGCUAGUAAUCGUGGAUCAGAAUGCCACGGUGAAUACGUUCCCGGGCCUUGUACACACCGCCCGUCACACCAUGGGAGUGGGUUGCAAAAGAAGUAGGUAGCUUAACCUUCGGGAGGGCGCUUACCACUUUGUGAUUCAUGACUGGGGUGAAGUCGUAACAAGGUAACCGUAGGGGAACCUGCGGUUGGAUCACCUCCUUACCUGAAAGAAGC
rnacentral:rRNA from 3 species